rnacentral:rRNA from 1 species
CCUACGGGCGGCUGCAGUGAGGAAUAUUGGUCAAUGGGCGUAAGCCUGAACCAGCCAAGUCGCGUGAGGGAUGAAGGUUCUAUGAGUUGUAAACUGCUUUUGUACAAGGGUAAACCUGAAUACGUGUAUUCAGCUGACAGUACUGUACGAAUAAGGAUCGGCUAACUCCGUGCCAGCAGCCGCGGUAAUACGGAGGAUCCAAGCGUUAUCCGGAUUUAUUGGGUUUAAAGGGUGCGUAGGCGGAUUGAUAAGUUAGAUGUGAAAUGUCCGAGCUUAACUCGGGAACUGCCUCUAAUACUGUUGAUCUAGAGAGUAGAUGCGGUAGGCGGAAUGUAUGGUGUAGCGGUGAAAUGCUUAGAGAUCAUACAGAACACCGAUUGCGAAGGCAGCUUACCAAUCUAUAUCUGACGUUGAGGCACGAAAGCGUGGGGAGCAAACAGGAUUAGAUACCCCAGUAGUC